UGCGCAGGCGGUUGCGUGUGUUGGGUGUGAAAGCCCGGAGCUCAACUCCGGAAUUGCGCCCAAAACUACGCGACUAGAGUACCGGAGAGGAUAGCGGAAUUCACGGUGUAGCAGUGAAAUGCGUAGAUAUCGUGAAGAACACCAGCGGCGAAGGCGGCUAUCUGGAAGGUAACUGACGCUCAGGCACGAAAGCGUGGGGAGCAAAAG
rnacentral:rRNA from 1 species